rnacentral:rRNA from 1 species
GAUGAACGCUGGCGGCGUGCCUAACACAUGCAAGUCGAGCGGCAGCGCGGGGUGCUUGCACCCUGUCGGCGAGCGGCGGACGGCUGAGUAACGCGUGGGAACGUGCCCCAAAGUGAGGAAUAACUGCCCGAAAGGGUAGCUAAUACCGCAUAUUAUCUUCGGAUCAAAGGAUUUAUCCGCUUUGGGAGCGGCUCGCGUCGGAUUAGGUAGUUGGUGGGGUAAUGGCUCACCAAGCCGACGAUCCGUAGCUGGUCUGAGAGGAUGACCAGCCAGACUGGAACUGAGACACGGUCCAGACUCCUACGGGAGGCAGCAGUGAGGAAUCUUCCACAAUGGGCGAAAGCCUGAUGGAGCAACGCCGCGUGCAGGACGAAGGCCUUCGGGUUGUAAACUGCUUUUAUAAGUGAGGAAUAUGACGGUAACUUAUGAAUAAGGAUCGGCUAACUACGUG